GAUGAACGCUGGCGGCGUGCCUAAUACAUGCAAGUCGAGCGAACAGAUGAGGAGCUUGCUCCUCUGACGUUAGCGGCGGACGGGUGAGUAACACGUGGAUAACCUACCUAUAAGACUGGGAUAACUUCGGGAAACCGGAGCUAAUACCGGAUAAUAUAUUGAACCGCAUGGUUCAAUAGUGAAAGACGGUUUUGCUGUCUCUUAUAGAUGGAUCCGCGCCGCAUUAGCUAGUUGGUAAGGUAACGGCUUACCAAGGCAACGAUGCGUAGCCGACCUGAGAGGGUGAUCGGCCACACUGGAACUGAGACACGGUCCAGACUCCUACGGGAGGCAGCAGUAGGGAAUCGUCCGCAAUGGGCGAAAGCCUGACGGAGCAACGCCGCGUGAGUGAUGAAGGUCUUCGGAUCGUAAAACUCUGUUAUUAGGGAAGAACAAAUGUGUAAGUAACUAUGCACGUCUUGACGGUACCUAAUCAGAAAGCCACGGCUAACUACGUG
rnacentral:rRNA from 1 species